rnacentral:rRNA from 1 species
AUUGAACGCUGGCGGCAGGCUUAACACAUGCAAGUCGAGCGAGCGGCGCACGUGUGAGUUAUGUCUGGGACACUGCCUGAUGGAGGGGGAUAACUACUGGACAUGGUCGCUUACCCCGUAUACCCUCAUAUGUGCCCAGAUGGGUUUAGCCAGUAGGUGGUGUAAUGGCUCAUAUAGGCGGCGACCCCUAGCUGGUUUGAGAGGAUGACCAGCCACACUGGAACGGAGACACGGUCCAGAGUCCUACGGGAGGCAGCAGUGGGGAAUAUUGGACAAUGGGCGCAAGCCUGAUGCGGCCAUGCCGCGUGUAUGAAGAAGGCCUGCGGGUUGUAAAGUACUUUCAGCGGGGAGGCGUUACCCGCAGAAGAAGCACCGGCUAACUACGUGCCAGCAGCCGCGGUAAUAC